rnacentral:rRNA from 1 species
GACGAACGCUGGCGGCGUGCUUAACACAUGCAAGUCGAACGGAAAGGCCCUGCUUUUGUGGGGUGCUCGAGUGGCGAACGGGUGAGUAACACGUGAGUAACCUGCCCUUGACUUUGGGAUAACUUCAGGAAACUGGGGCUAAUACCGGAUAGGAGCUCCUGCUGCAUGGUGGGGGUUGGAAAGUUUCGGCGGUUGGGGAUGGACUCGCGGCUUAUCAGCUUGUUGGUGGGGUAGUGGCUUACCAAGGCUUUGACGGGUAGCCGGCCUGAGAGGGUGACCGGCCACAUUGGGACUGAGAUACGGCCCAGACUCCUACGGGAGGCAGCAGUGGGGAAUAUUGCACAAUGGGCGGAAGCCUGAUGCAGCAACGCCGCGUGCGGGAUGACGGCCUUCGGGUUGUAAACCGCUUUCGCCUGUGACGAAGCGUGAGUGACGGUAAUGGGUAAAGAAGCACCGGCUAACUACGUGCCAGCAGCCGCGGUGAUACGUAGGGUGCGAGCGUUGUCCGGAUUUAUUGGGCGUAAAGGGCUCGUAGGUGGUUGAUCGCGUCGGAAGUGUAAUCUUGGGGCUUAACCCUGAGCGUGCUUUCGAUACGGGUUGACUUGAGGAAGGUAGGGGAGGAUGGAAUUCCUGGUGGAGCGGUGGAAUGCGCAGAUAUCAGGAGGAACACCAGUGGCGAAGGCGGUUCUCUGGGCCUUUCCUGACGCUGAGGAGCGAAAGCGUGGGGAGCGAACAGGCUUAGAUACCCUGGUAGUCCACGCUGUAAACGGUGGGUACUAGGUGUGGGGUCCAUUCCACGGGUUCCGUGCCGUAGCUAACGCUUUAAGUACCCCGCCUGGGGAGUACGGCCGCAAGGCUAAAACUCAAAGGAAUUGACGGGGCCCCGCACAAGCGGCGGAGCAUGCGGAUUAAUUCGAUGCAACGCGUAGAACCUUACCUGGGUUUGACAUGGAUCGGGAGUGCUCAGAGAUGGGUGUGCCUCUUUUGGGGUCGGUUCACAGGUGGUGCAUGGCUGUCGUCAGCUCGUGUCGUGAGAUGUUGGGUUAAGUCCCGCAACGAGCGCAACCCUUGUUCACUGUUGCCAGCACGUUAUGGUGGGGACUCAGUGGAGACCGCCGGGGUCAACUCGGAGGAAGGUGGGGAUGACGUCAAGUCAUCAUGCCCCUUAUGUCCAGGGCUUCACGCAUGCUACAAUGGCUGGUACAGAGAGUGGCGAGCCUGUGAGGGUGAGCGAAUCUCGGAAAGCCGGUCUCAGUUCGGAUUGGGGUCUGCAACCCGACCUCAUGAAGUCGGAGUCGCUAGUAAUCGCAGAUCAGCAACGCUGCGGUGAAUACGUUCCCGGG